rnacentral:rRNA from 1 species
UACGUGGGGCGCAAGCGUUGUCCGGAAUUAUUGGGCGUAAAGAGCUCGUAGGCGGUUUGUCGCGUCUGCUGUGAAAACUCGGGGCUUAACUCCGGGCCUGCAGUGGGUACGGGCAGACUAGAGUGCGGUAGGGGAGACUGGAAUUCCUGGUGUAGCGGUGAAAUGCGCAGAUAUCAGGAGGAACACCGGUGGCGAAGGCGGGUCUCUGGGCCGUAACUGACGCUGAGGAGCGAAAGCGUGGGGAGCGAACAGG